rnacentral:rRNA from 1 species
AACGAACGCUGGCGGCAGGCUUAACACAUGCAAGUCGAACGCAUCCUUCGGGGUGAGUGGCAGACGGGUGAGUAACGCGUGGGAACGUGCCCUUCAGUUCGGGAUAACCCAGGGAAACUUGGGCUAAUACCGGAUACGUGCGAGAGCAGAAAGAUUUAUCGCUGAGGGAUCGGCCCGCGUCUGAUUAGCUAGUUGGGGGGGUAAUGGCCCACCAAGGCGACGAUCAGUAGCUGGUCUGAGAGGAUGAUCAGCCACAUUGGGACUGAGACACGGCCCAAACUCCUACGGGAGGCAGCAGUGGGGAAUAUUGGACAAUGGGCGCAAGCCUGAUCCAGCCAUGCCGCGUGAGUGAUGAAGGCCUUAGGGUUGUAAAGCUCUUUCGUCCGGGACGAUAAUGACGGUACCGGAAGAAGAAGCCCCGGCUAACUUCGUGCCAGCCGCCGCUGUAA